UACGUAGGGUGCAAGCGUUGUCCGGAAUUAUUGGGCGUAAAGAGCUCGUAGGCGGCUUGUCGCGUCGGCUGUGAAAACCUGGGGCUCAACCCCGGGCCUGCAGCCGAUACGGGCAAGCUAGAAUUCGGUAGGGGAGACUGGAAUUCCUGGUGUAGCGGUGAAAUGCGCAGAUAUCAGGAGGAACACCGGUGGCGAAGGCGGCUGACUGGACACAUAUUGACGCUGAGGCUCGAAAGCAUGGGGAGCAAACAGG
rnacentral:rRNA from 1 species